rnacentral:rRNA from 1 species
GACGAACGCUGGCGGCGUGCUUAACACAUGCAAGUCGAACGAAGAGCGAUGGAAGCUUGCUUCUAUUAAUCUUAGUGGCGAACGGGUGAGUAACGCGUAAUCAACCUGCCCUUCAGAGGGGGACAACAGUUGGAAACGACUGCUAAUACCGCAUACGAUCCAAUCUCGGCAUCGAGACUGGAUGAAAGGUGGCCUCUAUUUAUAAGCUAUCACUGAAGGAGGGGAUUGCGUCUGAUUAGCUAGUUGGAGGGGUAACGGCCCACCAAGGCGAUGAUCAGUAGCCGGUCUGAGAGGAUGAACGGCCACAUUGGGACUGAGACACGGCCCAGACUCCUACGGGAGGCAGCAGUGGGGAAUCUUCCGCAAUGGACGAAAGUCUGACGGAGCAAC